UGAAGUUUCAAAUCAAACAACUUCUGGCUGUGAGAAAUUGUCAGUCCAGCAGGAAGAGCUUACAGAAGGGUCAUGACUAACUUUGAAUCCCUGUUCCUUGCUGAACAUUAUGUAUACAGGAUCUCCUCAGGCAUCUCUGGCUGGCCUCAAACUCGUUGUCCUCUUGCCUCAGGCUCCCGAUGGAGGGAGGCCUCACACCCAGCUCUAACACUGAACUGGUGGCAGUAAUUUAGGGGAAACCCACAGUGGCUGCAGUAGAGAAGAACCUGGAUCAGCCUCAUGCAUUUUAGCUCUGGGACCCCACUAACACCCCACAGGACUGGGAACCUUUACCCUCCCUGAGAGGAAUUUUAUUCUCUGGAAAAGGAUAUGAUGAGAAAGAAAGAAAUCGAUCUGCAUCAACAUUUCCUGUUGGGACUGAGAAGGCGAUAUUUGUGCCUGUAUUUUGGAAGUGAUGCACACCACCGGAUGAAAAAAAUUCCAAAGUAGAGUUGGAAAAGUUUUCCCAGCUGCAUGGAGAGGCUGUAAUAGAGGCAUGAAGAGAACACAGAAGGCCCAGCUGUAUCAUGGAUUUUGUUCUCUGCUGGAUCCAGGGAAGCUUCUCCUGCUCUCCCUGCCUCCUAUGUGCUCCAGGCUUAUGCCACCUCCAUCUUGUACCUGGGCAAUGAUUUUGAGUAUCUAAACAGGGUUAGUGAAUAAAUAGCAGAUAUACUGAUGCUCCCACUCCUCUACCCAUGGAAGACAUCACUAAUUGAUUUCAACUUAAUGCUCCAAGUACUCACCAAUAAAUAAUUGGAGACAGUCUGUUGACAUCCUAGUCAGUACUUUUCUUUUCUUCCCCCUAACUUCCUCCUAGAGUUUUCAAGCAAAGCAAG
rnacentral:lncRNA from 1 species